AGCUUUGUGCAGUGGCAUUAUCAUAGCCAAUAAGGUGUAUUGGAGGCACGAUUAUUGCUAAUUGAAGAAAAAAUAAAAUGGCUGUCUACAAGAAAUACCGUGCACUAAAAUCUGAUGUUUUUUGUGAUAC
rnacentral:snRNA from 1 species